GGCGUCCGAGUUGUAAUUUGUAGAGGAUGCUAUUGGGUUGCCACCGGUCUAAGUUCCUUGGAACAGGACGUCACAGAGGGUGAGAAUCCCGUACGUGACCGGCCAGGCGCUCUCCGUAUAGCUCCUUCGACGAGUCGGGUUGUUUGGGAAUGCAGCCCUAAAUGGGAGGUAAAUUUCUUCUAAAGCUAAAUACCGGCCAGAGACCGAUAGCGCACAAGUAGAGUGAUCGAAAGAUGAAAAGCACUUUGGAAAGAGAGUUAAAAAGCACGUGAAAUUGUUGAAAGGGAAGCGCUUGCCAUCAGUCUCGACGGCGGCUGUUCGGCCUCUCUUCUGAGUGGUUUAUUCAGUCGCCGCCGGGCCAGCAUCAGUUCUGGCGGCCGGAUAAAGGCGUGGGGAAUGUAGCUCCCUCGGGAGUGUUAUAGCCCCGCGUGCAAUACGGCCCGCCGGGACUGAGGUCCGCGCUCCGGCUAGGAUGCUGGCGAAAUGGUUGUAAGCGGCCCGUCUUGAAACACGGACCAAGGAGUCUAACAUCUACGCGAGUGUUUGGGUGUCAAACCCGUGCGCGCAAUGAAAGUGAACGGAGGUGGGAACCGCAAGGUGCACCAUCGACCGAUCCUGAUGUCUUCGGAUGGAUUUGAGUAAGAGCGUAGCUGUUGGGACCCGAAAGAUGGUGAACUAUGCCUGAAUAGGGUGAAGCCAGAGGAAACUCUGGUGGAGGCUCGCAGCGGUUCUGACG
rnacentral:rRNA from 1 species